rnacentral:ncRNA from 1 species
AGAGUAGAGGUCGCGUCAAACAACAGUACCCCGCCCGAUGCUUCAAGGGCAGAGGAAGGCGGAUGAAAGGGGGAGACGCCGAAGGGCCGUAUAGCUUGAGUGUGCGGACCCUGGGCGCACGGUGAACAGCCGUGUGACUGUCAUCUGUAUAGGAUGGUGAGCUACUUAA